rnacentral:rRNA from 1 species
UCGAGCUUAUGAAGGGAGCUUGCCUUGGAUUCAGCGGCGGACGGGUGAGUAAUGCCUAGGAAUCUGCCUGGUAGUGGGGGAUAACGUCCGGAAACGGCCGCUAAUACCGCAUACGUCCUGAGGGAGAAAGUCGGGGAUCUUCGGACCUCACGCUAUCAGAUGAGCCUAGGUCGGAUUAGCUAGUUGGUGGGGUAAAGGCCUACCAAGGCGACGAUCCGUAACUGGUCUGAGAGGAUGAUCAGUCACACUGGAACUGAGACACGGUCCAGACUCCUACGGGAGGCAGCAGUGGGGAAUAUUGGACAAUGGGCGCAAGCCUGAUCCAGCCAUGCCGCGUGUGUGAAGAAGGUCUUCGGAUUGUAAAGCACUUUAAGUUGGGAGGAAGGGCAGUAAGUUAAUACCUUGCUGUUUGACGUUACCAACAGAAUAAGCACCGGCUAACUUCGUGCCAGCAGCCGCGGUAAUACGAAGGGUGCAAGCGUUAAUCGGAAUUACUGGGCGUAAAGCGCGCGUAAGUGGUUCAGCAAGCUUGAUGUGAAAUCCCCGGGCUCAACCUGGGAACUGCAUCCAAAAGCUACUGAGCUAGAGUACGGUAGAGGUGGUAGAAUUUCCUGUGUAGCGGUGAAAUGCGUAGAUAUAGGAAGGAACACCAGUGGCGAAGGCGACCACCUGGACUGUACUGACACUGAGGUGCGAAAGCGUGGGGAGCAAACAGGAUUAGAUACCCUGGUAGUCCACGCCGUAAACGAUGUCGACUAGCCGUUGGGAUCCUUGAGAUCUUAGUGGCGCACGUAACGCGAUAAGUCGACCGCCUGGGGAGUACGGC